GUGUGCGAACAUACCAGCACUAAUGCACCGGAUCCCAUCAGAACUCCGAAGUUAAACGUGCUUGGGCGAGAGAAGUACUAAGAUGGGUGACCUCUUGGGAAGUCCUCGUGUUGCACCUU
rfam:Ricinus communis cultivar Hale ctg_1100012319295, whole genome shotgun sequence.